CAAAUUAGAGCUUGUAUAAGUAUUUCAUUUACAUUGAAAAGAAAUUAAUGUUUAAUUAAUUUGA
rnacentral:tRNA from 1 species